ACUUGAUACAUGAAAAAAAAAAAUUUAGUACUGAGUUCCUUAGAAUUUUCCAAUUCAUAAUUGAAAAUGUAUGAUGGUUAGUAGAGCAAAUAAUUUAAACUUUCAGAGCCUCUGUGCUUUCAUCUAAGGAAUAGUUAUAAUAAUAGUUAAUAAAGUUUAUCCAAUAAUUAAAUUAGGUAAUUUAUUUUAAAAUCUUAUAGCAUAUUUGCUUACAGAAAUACGCACUCAUUGUUUGUAGCCUAUAUUUGUAACUUAAUAUAUAAAUAACACAUAAUUUAUAAUUGUUAUUGUAACUGAUAAGAAUUGUUCAUUACUUAUUUUAUAAUUAAAGUCUGGGGGUUUUGACGGCCGGUUAGGGCAGUUUAAAACUCCCUGAAGGGAAACAGAGCCUCUUACUCACAGGAAAGAGAGAGGUGGCAGGGUUUCAGAAGAGAGGAAGACCGGAUAGUUUCGCAAUUCAUACACACUCACCUUCCAGGAUCCCGGUCGAGGUCCCCAGCUGAAAAGGGAAAGGCUCCCUCGUCCCCUCUCAGGGCGCGUGAUGGGGGAGUGACUGUUUUCUUCAGCGCCCCGCUGCUGAGACCUCUAGGGAGCACACAGAUCGGCAGGCUAUGGAGCUCCUACCCCAGGGCAGGGUCUAGGGGUGAAUGUUUACAGCUCCUGAAGCCCCAAUGGGCAUGUGUUACAGGAUACUCUCUAGUCUGCCAUCUACAGGCAGCUCGUGUUAACUAGCUCAGUUAGGCCCUCGACCUUGUGGCAAGAACAAAGGGCUUUCUGUAUUCGGGGCUCUUGCCUUGGUGUACCUGAAGAAUCGGAUCACACAUGGGCUUGGAGAAUGAGUGCAAAGUUUUAUUCAGUGGAAGUAGCUCUCCGCCUGUGGGGCAGCCAGAAGGGAGAUGGUUUUCCCCCGGAGUUGGGAUGCUCUGCAGGCCCGACUGUCCUCUGACUGCCCAGGCCAACCUCUGCCUCCUCCCGCUGGUCCACGGCCUUCUGGCUUCCGGCUUCUGUCAGCGUGUUCUUCUACUGGCCUGCUCCUAUGGACGACCAGUCGUUUGUCUUCUUCCCCUGAUGUGUUGCUCAUCAGGACAUCCAGCCACUUGUGUAUCUGCCUGCAAGGGUCUCAGAUUUUUGCCAAGGUUUUGGGAAAACGUGGUCUCUUCUUGAUAGAGUUUCAAAGCAGGAACUUUGGAAUCCUUGGCUUCUGGCCACCCGUAUAACUAUCUCAUGGAGAGGUCCUUGCCAAGAGAUGGAAAACAGAGUCCUGGUAAUGCUAAUUGUCUCCCUAGAUAGAGUUGUACCAGAAGUCAAACUAAACUCAGAUUUUUGCAUACAUAAGCCAAUUGUUUGUUUUUCUUUAUUAUUUGAUUCUGCAUUCUAUCACUGUUAAAUAAAUUUUUUCCUGAAUAUCACAUAUAUAUUAGUAACAAACUCUAAAAUACUAUUUGCUCCAAGACUUUAGAAAUAGAUAAUGAGGUAGAUCUUUUCCUAACACAUUUUAAGAUGAACAAUGAAGACUGUUUUCACCUUUGCUUUAUGGUGUAGAGGUAAAAAAUAAGGAAAUUCUCAUUUAUUUUAUUUUUGGAAGAAAGAUAGAGUAUGGAAUACCUCUGAGUUCGAAGGUUUACUUUACAUAUUUGGAUAUCUCCUAGAUUUUUUCCAUUC
ensembl:lncRNA